ACUGGACUUGGAGUCAGAAG
rnacentral:ncRNA from 2 species